rnacentral:rRNA from 1 species
GACAGAGGGUGCAAACGUUGUUCGGAAUUACUGGGCGUAAAGCGCAUGUAGGCGGUCUAGCAGGUCGGAUGUGAAAGCCCUCGGCUCAACCGAGGAGGUGCAUUCGAAACCGCAAGACGUCGAGUCCCGGAGAGGGUAGUGGAAUUCUCGGUGUAGAGGUGAAAUUCGUAGAUAUCGAGAGGAACACCGGUGGCGAAAGCGGCUACCUGGCGAGGACUGACGCUGAGAUGC